rnacentral:piRNA from 1 species
UUUGGUCCAGCGAAACGUGAACAUCUU